UGUCUGUCCGUCUCUCUCUCUCUCUGUCUCUGUGUGUGUGUCUCUGUCUCUGUCUCUCUGUAUCUCUCUGUCUCUCUCUCUCUGUGUCUCUCUCAGUCUCUCUGUGUCUCUCUCUGUCUCUCUCUGUCUCUGUCUCUGUCUCUCUGUUUCUCUCUGUGUCUCUCCCUUUCUGUCUAUCUCUCUGUCUCUGUCUCUGUCUCUCUAUUUCUCAGUCUCUCUCUUUCUCUGUCUCUGACUCUCUCUCUCUGUAUGUAUAAAUAGAUAAACAGAGUAAAUGCACAGCACAGCCCUAUACCCUCUAUACAUCACAACAAAUAUGCAGAGAAAGAGAUGGGGAGAGACAGAGAGAGGGGGAGACAGAGGGCGAACCUCCAAGGGACUUUGGGGAGACGUGUUCUCCCAAGUGAGAGGACAAGAGAGAGCCUCCUCUAGGAGAUGGUGCUGGGGCUGAGCCCUGAAGGAAAAAACAAGCAUUUGGGGAUUUAAAUCUAUUUAUUUAAUUAUUAAAUUUAAUUUAUUUAUUUAAUUUAUUAUUUUAAUUUAAUUAUUAAAUUUAAUUAUUAAAUCUCAGUCAUUCUAGUUUAUAUUAUACCCAAUCAUUCGGCAUGUUAUUUAUUAUUUAUAUUUAUUUUUAUAAAAAUGGAAUGUAUUUCUUUGUUGCUACUACAACAGCUUCUCCUCCUCCAAGAGGCAGAGAUGAAGCGGCAGAGAAUUUCAGCUGGGGGUGGGGGGAGCUCAAAAGCCAGGCUUGUACACAGGAACAAAGCUCCAGAACAGCUACCAGGGGUCCUCAAACUACGGCCCGCGGGCCAGAUGCGGCAGCUGAGGACAUUUAUCCCCCUCCCCCAGGGCUAGGAAGUUUCUUUAUUUAAAGGCCCACAAAACAAAGGUUUUGUUUUUACUCUAGUCCGACCCUCCAACAGUCUGAGGGACGGUGAGCUGGCCCCCUAUUUAAAAAGUCUGAGGACCCCCGAGUCAUUGCUCUGUCUGAGGGAUGGCAAGAAGACUUCCAUAUCUGAUCUCCUUUGACUCUCACAAGGACGCCCAUAAGGCGUGAUUAUUCCCGGUCACAGGUGGAGAUAAAGUGAGUCUCACGUUAAGACUUGCAACGGAUUAUACAAUUAGCAAAUGUCAAGAUUUGAAUUCAGCUCCCUACUCAACUCCAAGUCCUUUCCCCCACAGAGACUUGUCCGAGGUUAGCCCACAAGUCUAGUCGUGACCUUGUGUGAUCUUCCCCACCACCCAACGGGAGGAUCCUUAGAAAAUCUAAUGCCAAAAUUGGAAGAGGACUCAGAACAUAGAAUAUGGAGGGGAACAGACUUCGGUCCUAAAACAUAGACUAUAAGCAUGGGAGAGAGCUUAGAACUUAAAACGCCAAGAGCCAGGUUAUAUCGUAGACCAACGAAUCCCUAAAUCGAACAAUAACAAAAAGAUGUGGGCCUGGGGAUGUGGGGCGGGUUUUUGGACCGUGGCAGAAAUUCGGAGAAUCAAAGCAGGAGUAGGACCACUGCCCAGUAGAGAAAAGGCAGAAUAGUGUAGAUUCUUUUUUCUUUCUAUUUUUUCCAACAAGGAAGAUGAACUUUGACCUGGAAAGAGGAGGGAGCUGGUACCCAAGGUAAGAAGAGAUUCAUUUUGAUGGAUUCUAGUCACCAGGACCACUCCAUUCCGGGAUACUUAAGGAACUGGUAAGGACCACUAUCAGUGGUCUCUGAAACUUUUAUUGAUUUCUAAAUAUGAUAUAUUAAUCACCAAUUCAUUAAAAUUAAUAAUACAAUGAGACACUUAGGGGAAGGCUUUCUUAAUCCCCAUUAUUACUGAGGGUUCUCCUCUUCUAGACAAUAAACAAAUAAUAAAUAAAAUAAAAUAAUUAAUAUAAAUUACUAAAUUAAACCAAUAACGGGCUCAGUGACUAGUCCCUAUCUUAUAUUUAACUACAAAUAUGUAACGGCAGAUUGGUUGAUUGUCUGUUUAUUCUGUAUCUAUUUCUAAUUUAUUUCUCCCAUUAAAAUGUGCCUUCGCUCUUUGUGUUUACAUCUCCGGUACCCAGAGGACCUGUACCCUAGCUAAGUAACUAGAUUUCAUCUUAAACCAUUUCCUUUCUCCCUCCUCUCCUCUACUUGAACUCGCUGAGACCCGGUUUUCUCGGGAUGACCCCGGCAACCCUUUCCGUAGCCACCGGCCGGUCCUGAUGGAGAAGGGAAUACGGCUCUUUGUCCCCUUCCUGGCUCUCCUUCUAGCCCCAUGGCGGAGGGGCCUUGUCCAAGGUAGCCCCCGAGUUGGUACCAGAACAGGACAAAACGCAGCAGCCUCAUUGGCUAUUCUCCCCACUGCACCGAGCUGCACUGAGACAGAAUACUUUUGGGGAGAAAUGAAAGACUUCACAUUUCCAACCACAGCCACUCGGGGGCAUUUGACGUUUCGCAGCAUAGAAUUCUCGCCUUGGAACACGUCCAGAACUCUGGGCGAACGCUCCGGCUCUCCUGCCAAGGGCCCUGGGAUUUCUGAGAGGUAGAAAGGGUCACGGCCUCUGUUCCAGAUUCCAUCCCAAAGACGACACCUCCGUGGCUUUUUCAGACGCGAUGUGAAAGCGCCCGUUCCCUGGGCACGCGCACGUUGGGGAACGUUCAGCGCGGCGGACACCACUGGCCCAUCUUCUCAUCCUCGCCCCCCACCCCGCCCCCACUGCUUACCAUUUAAAUAGAGUGUCAGAGAUAAAAAUACGGAAGAGAUCCAUCUGACAAGGAGCUCCCCAGACACUCCAUCGCCAAGACAAGGGCCUUGACGCCUCUGUGCCCGCCGAAUCCGGAGAGGGGAGAGGGCCACGGGGAGGAAAGGGUGAGAUCGGACGGUGUUAUGGAUGAUUCAGAAACGUGGGACCAGAACAGAGCAGAACGCGGGAGUGCUGGGUUCUACUCAUGGCCGAGCCACUGAUUAGGCUGCACGGCCCUCGACAAGGGAUCCAGUUCCUCUGGAACUUGGUUGGACGUUUGGGAGAGAUGAGUUUUAAAUUUCCUGUCAAGCACUGACGUUCUAUACUCCCUGUCUCUGAACUGCUGUUCUACCUCUAUGUAUAAAGGUUAAUUUUAUCACAACUGUGCUGUGUUCCAUAACCUAAGGACCCAUUUAGCCCUACUAUUCCAUGUUCUAAAGUCCUUUCCUGCUCUCACAAUCUUUGUUCCACAUGCUAAAGCCCUUCCCAUCUCUGACAUUCCCAGUUCUCUCUCUCUGUCUCUCCUAGCAUUGACAUUCCCCGUUCUAAGGCCUUCCCAGUUUUGACAUUCCCUCCUUGUUCUAAAGCUUUUUCCAUCUGUGGCAUUCCCUGUUCUAAGGCGUUCUCAUCUCUGACAUUCCCAGUUCUAAGGCCCUUCCCACCUCUGACAUCCUGUGUUCCAAGGGCUUCCCAGCUCAGACAUCCUAUGUUCUAUGGCCCUUCUCAGCUCCUACUUUCUCUGUUUAAAGUCCCUUCCGACUCUGACAUUCUCCCAUCUGUGUUCUAAGGACUCUCUCAGCUCUGGCCUUAUUUGGUCAGUGUUCUAAGAUUCCUCUCUUGAUUAUUGACUCCUGCGGAGAGAUCUGAGAGUGACGUUCUCCCAGGGAGGUUCCGGAGUUCCAUUUGUCCCAUCCUCUCACAGAACCCCCCGAUAAACUUCGCUCCUUUGGUUGGGCUACAGCUCCGGGGUCCAGGCCUCCAUCUUCCCCUUCAGGGGUUAAGAGCCUUCUUUUCUGAUGCAAUUGUUGCUUUUUCAAGACCACAGGCCCGAUCAGCCUGGUACAAAAGACUUGAUUUAAUCCCAGUUGCAGACAAUUCACAAUGUACUGGCUCCUGGAUUUGUAGCAAUGUCUGGCUAUCGGGUUUCUAGCUAAUAUCCCCAGCAUAGUCCCAGCAGAGGCCAGGAACAAAGACCUCUUUGUUAUAAAUAUAUUUUUAAAAUCCCUAAAGAUAUUUAACAGAGCAACAGAGUUCAAACUGCUAAGUGAUUCAGUUGUUAUUUAAUGAGCAUGCUUGAAAUGAAGUAUAACUCCCCCGGACUUGGAGAUGACCAUUUAUAAAGAACCUGCCCUUUCAGGCUUUAUAUAAAUAAGGCCGGCUCCUUCUAGGGUUUAACUGGAGUUGCCCUGACUCAAGGCCUGGAGUCUCCUCGGGGAGAUUUGUGGCCGUUUCCCUUGUCCCCUCCCUGCCCUGAACUGUUCCCUCCCUCCCUCCCUCCAAAGGAUACCCUCCAUUUCUGUACUCCCUCCUUCAAUUCCAACCCAUGGCCCAACCUACAGAAACCCUACUAUAAAUCCAUGGGGAAUAUGGUCGCCUGGAGGACGCACCGGAAAGAUGAAGAAUGAGAAUCGGGGCAUGAGUUCUGGUCCCAGAACUCGGUGUACAUGUGCCCUACGACAAGUCCCUUCAUAGAACCCUCAAGCUGGGGCUGGGAGGGAGCUCCGAGGCCUUCCCGUCAGGCCCGGGGAUCCACGUGGAAAGUCGGCAUCAGAGAAGGGAUCUGAGCGCGGGGCAUCCGACCGCAAAGGGCCACCGCAUCCAAAAGGAUCAGAUUGAAUCUGCUCACGGCAUCCAAUAACUUGGGGUACUGAUCAUAGACCAUCUUGGCUCCCCUAAAAAGUGCAUAAGUUUCAUGAAUGCCAGUAUUAACUCAAUGUAAUAACCAGUUAUUAAGUAUCUACUACGUCCAAGGUAAAAUAUUUACUACGAAAGUUUCCCCAGAAUCUAUGCCCCAAGAUUCUUUCACAUGGCAAUAUCCUAUGUCCAGUUCCAUCUGGACUCUGACAUUUUUUUUCUAAGAUCCCUCCUAAGUAUAGCAUUCUAUGUUCUAAAGUUCCUCCCAGUUCUGAGAUUCUCUGUUCUACAUCCUCUUCCAGCUCUAACAUUCCCUGUUCUAAGACCCUUCCCAACUCUAAUAUUCCCAGUUCUAAGACCUUCCUAGCUCUGAUAUCCCCUGUUCUAAGGUCUUUCCUAGUUCUGAUAUUCCCUAUUCUAAGCCCCCUCCCACUCCUGAUAUUCCCUGUCCUAAAACCUUCUCAGUUCUGACAUUCCUUAUUCUAAGUCCCCUUUCAGCUCUGACAUUCCCUAUUCUAAGGCCUUUCCCAUCUCUGACAUUCCCUAUUCUAAGGCCCCUCCAACUGUGACAUCCCCUGUUCUAAGGCCCUUUCCUAGCUUUCUGUGAUUCUAACUUCCCAUCUAGCUUGAAUUUGAUCAUAAUUUUUUAUCAUUUAAGAACUAGAAGAUAUUUUAAAGGUCAUCUCGUCCAAUCCUUUCAGAAACGGAUGCAAAGCGGGGACGUGAGAUGUCCAAGAUCAUAUACGGUAAAUUAGAGUCAGGGAGUCAAGUGAUAGGAAUAGGAAUUCCUGAAAGCUGGAAUCCUGGCAAGAAUGGAGGGGCCAGGUGGGGGAUGGGGAGAAGAAUUCCCCCUCCAGUUUUAUUCAGGAUUUCCUGUCCUAUAGAGUGUCAAGUUCCUGGAGAGGUGAAACUCAGGCGUCGGGCGGAGCUCCCACACAUGUUCUCUGAGCUGGAGGAGCAGCAAGGACCUGAGCCACAAUAUGUCGGGGCAAAAAACCUGGACUUUCCUUUCACGACACCAUGAGUUAUUUGGGAGGCGCUGAUGUGUUUGGAAGAUGGUUGUCGCUCUAGUAAUCUCCAGUUAAUUUUCCUUCCAAAGGAAGACUUAAAAGUGGUGCUAUGAGGUUGAGAUCUUAUUUAGGGUCCUAGGGAGAAAGGAGGACUUACCAGAGAGAGAAGAGAUCUGUACUGAUUCAUUUGGGGCCACCGAGAAUCCAUUCUUUUUUUUUAAAAAAGAAUUGAACUUAUUGGAUAUAUAUAUAUAUAUAUAUAUAUAUUUGCUAAGGCAAUUGGGGUUAAGUGACUUGCCCAGAGUCACACAGCUAGGAAGUAUUAAGUGUCUGAGGUCAAUUUGAACGCAGGUCCUCCUGACUUCAGGGCUGGUGUUCUAUCCACUGCACCACCUAGCUGCCCUUAACCUAUUGGAUAUUUAAGAAGAAAAUCAGACUGUACAAAAUUGAGAUCCACAGUUUUGCACACAGAUAGUUCUCUCUUUUUUUAAAGAAUCCAUUAUUAAUUUUUUUUGUAUUUUCCAUAAGAUGAAAUAAAGGCUCUCCUGUCCUUGCUA